GGAUUGCAGCCUGCAACUCGGCUGCAUGAAGCUGGAAUCGCUAGUAAUCGCAGAUCAGAAUGCUGCGGUGAAUACGUUCCCGGGUCUUGUACACACCGCCCGUCACACCAUGGGAGUUGGAAAUGCCCGAAGUCAGUGACCGAACCGAAAGGAAGGAGCUGCCGAAGGUGGAGCCGAUGACUGGGGUGAAGUCGUAACAAGGUACC
rnacentral:rRNA from 1 species